UCUCUCAUUUUAUUUAUUAGCCUCAAUUUCAAUGAUAUUGUAUUAUAUUGUGUUAUCUUGCAUUUCGAUAUCAUAUUUAGUAAAAUUAAGUUUUCCUUCUUAGACCGUUGAUGCCAUUCUGUUUCUGGGGCCAGCUCCCCUACCCAUGCCCUUUUCCCUUCCCAUUUUUGGGCCAGGGGACCUACGGGCCUGCUGCCCCCUGUCACGGGCACAAUUAUCUAGACAUUUCCGUGACAAUAUGGUACAAAUAUAUAGCAAGAGGGAGCAAUGGCCGUGUUACAUAGCUUGUGGGGAGUGACUUCUUUGCCUUCUGUAACAUUAGUGAUUCCCUCAUGUACUGCUUUCUUCUCUGUUCUGGGGCAAUAAGAAUUUGGCCCUAAUAAAACAGAUUUACAGCAUGACCUUUGCGCACGCGCAUGAUAUAUUGUGAUGACAGCCACUCCACUGUGAAAUAUGAUACUAUGAUCUUUCAGUUGUUUCCCUUUGGAAGAUGAGCCUUACAUGACUACACUGAUAAGCAUCAAUGUAUCAGAAAUUAUGCCAGAAUAACAGAUACUGACGUGUUGUACCGUUGGAGGAUAUUGACAUAGUUCUGAAAAAGCAAGCUUAAGGACAAGGAUCAAAGCUAGCUUGGGUCCCAUUCGCAAAGCUGCAGGUAAAAUAUUGGUCAUUUCCUCAAAAGCUCGAAGUGGACAAAACAACAGACAGACAGAUGAAGAACACAUGGUCAGAAAACAAUGGUGAAAUGAAUGGAAAAUAUAUCAAGGCCUAUUAAGACUAUUUGGAUUGAUUAACUUAAAAUGGAGGCACAACUCUGUUCAAUGAAGCUGUUUAAUAUUUAUGAGGGUUUCCCUGAAAGUAAUGUCUCCUAUUUUAUUAUGUUGGCCCACAAUGUCAGAGUGGAUGUUGGUGAUGUGUCAAUAGAUGUUGGACCUUCCCAUCAAUGUUCUGUUACAUUUUGUUGCCAUGCGACAGAUGGCAGCAGAGGGAUAAUCUCACAAAAUGGCAUCAGACAUGGAAAUACAUACGAAGCAAAGGUGUGUCACUGAAUUCCUCCAU